CCUACGGGUGGCAGCAGUGGGGAAUAUUGCACAAUGGGCGCAAGCCUGAUGCAGCCAUGCCGCGUGUGUGAAGAAGGCCUUCGGGUUGUAAAGCACUUUCAGCGGGGAGGAAGGCGUUAAGGUUAAUAACCUUGGCGAUUGACGUUACCCGCAGAAGAAGCACCGGCUAACUCCGUGCCAGCAGCCGCGGUAAUACGGAGGGUGCAAGCGUUAAUCGGAAUUACUGGGCGUAAAGCGCACGCAGGCGGUCUGUCAAGUCGGAUGUGAAAUCCCCGGGCUCAACCUGGGAACUGCAUUCGAAACUGGCAGGCUAGAGUCUUGUAGAGGGGGGUAGAAUUCCAGGUGUAGCGGUGAAAUGCGUCGAGAUCUGGAGGAAUACCGGUGGCGAAGGCGGCCCCCUGGACAAAGACUGACGCUCAGGUGCGAAAGCGUGGGGAGCAAACAGGAUUAGAUACCCCAGUAGUC
rnacentral:rRNA from 1 species